CACAAGGGGUGAAGCCUGCGGUUCAAUUGGAGUCAACGCCGGAAAUCUUACCGGGGGCGACAGCAGAGUGAAGGUCAAGCUGAAGACUUUACCAGACAAGCUGAGAGGAGGUGCAUGGCCGUCGCCAGCUCGUGCCGUGAGGUGUCCUGUUAAGUCAGGUAACGAGCGAGAUCCCUAUCUCUAGUUGCUACUGCUGCUCUCAGGAGUAGUAGAGCUAAUUAGAGGGACCGCCGCCGCUGAGGCGGAGGAAGGAGGGGGCUACGGCAGGUCAGUAUGCCCCGAAACCCUCGGGCCACACGCGGGCUGCAAUGGUAAGGACAAUGGGUUCCUAUUCCGAAAGGAGGAGGCAAUCCCCAAACCUUACCCCAGUUAUGAUUGAGGGCUGAAACUCGCCCUCAUGAAUAUGGAAUCCCUAGUAACCGCGUGUCNUCNUCGCGCGGUGAAUACGUCCCUGCUCC
rnacentral:rRNA from 1 species